GUCUCUUACACCAGAGCUAGAAGGGUGGAGCAAUAGGAUCAUUAUCAUCAAUUUGUUAGUACUGUAAUAGUGGUAUAGCUUUUGUUAGAAAAUUUGUGAUGAGUGUUGCUGCUUAUUAGAGGGUUAAAAGUCUACUGUCAUGCUGUGGUGAAGUCCCAUUUCCUUCAGAUCUCCAGAUUUUGGCUGGAGAAAGGAUCAGUGCAAUUGCUGUUUGUGUCCUGGCUUAUGGCAGUGUCAGCAUUUUGCCUGGUGGAAGAAGCAGUGUUCGCAAUCUUGCAUUACAUAGCACUUAACACAAGACAUCAAAGAACAUGAACUUACAGACAAACAGGCUGGCCCCUUUAUGUACUGCUUACACUCCUGCCUAUAACUGUUGUCAACAUGUGCCGUGCAGGAAUGGGCCCACUUUGGACUAUCAGCAGUAAGCAUUGCAAUAACAAUCACAAUAAAGUCAAAUUCUGCAAACUUUUGCACUUCCUGAGAUUUAGUCAGUUUAAGUACAUCAGUGAGAGUAGGACUGCAAUGUUUUAAAAUCUCAGCCCUUAUUCCGUUGUCUGGAAGGUUCUGAAUAAUUACAUCAUGAAGCAUUUCAUCUUGAAAUCCAGAUCUACAAGUGCAGUUAAAUUUAGAAUUCCUCAUCGUGCCCUUGAGCUCAGUGCUCCAUUUCUUGUAAGUCUGAUUACUAUGGUGACACAUGUAAAAUAUUUUUAAACAAGCAGCAGCUACAUAAGUUGGAGUGUCAAAAGUUCCUCUAACCUCUGAACAGCUUUCUCACAGGGUAGACUUUGAGGCUUUACUUGGAGGAAUAACUUUUGACACAGCCUAAAAAUAAACACUCCUAGCCAAGAAAGAAAGAGAGGUCAUUGUGAUUUUGUAGGCUGCAAAGUUUGAGCUGUGAUUUGCAUUCCAUCCAGUCCAUUGGUUUUCAUCAAAAGUGUGGAAGGGAGGAGGUAGCACAUGCCCUCCAGAAUUCUGUACCUCUGUCGUUGUUUACUUUUGGCUUCUUGUGCAUCAAACAAUCUGCUAAUGGUCAUAAGUAAAGUCUGAAUUUGGAGGCUUUGAAACUGAGUAAUUGCAAUGAGUGUUUGCUGUCCAAAUAGCUGCCACUUCAUACAAAAAUAAAAUACAUUUCAAUACAUUGUAUAUAGACAAACAAUAAAUGGAAAUAGUUAUGCAAUACUGAAAUUUUUUUGAUUAAUUUUAUGGUUAGUGCUGGUCCAAGAAUCCACAGCUAUCAUGUUCUCAUCACCAGAAAUGUCUGUUGUGUCCAUAGUUGGUAAGAAGUGGCACAAACAUUUCAAAAUUUAUUAAAUGAUUAAAACAUGGGCAUAUUUAUUUACACUAUUUACAAGACAGUCGUUUUUAUACAUAACUUUUGUAUCAUUUAGUUGUAACAAUUCUCAGUUCAGUACUGUGGAUCAUUGGCUAGCACUUACAAUAAACAAUCACUUGCUAGCUGUUAGCAAAUUAAUAGCAUUGUGUUAGGUCUUUCUAUUCUUACUGUGAGUAUUCUGAGGUCUAUGACGGAGCGCAGUGUGCGGCGUCUUUACAAUAUGCGCAGAGGGUUACACAUCAGAAGAUGGGAAGCAGCAGAGUGAGGACACAGCAGUGUGCUGGUAGACUGUUUACAUGUCUUGUCAUCAACGUUAAUUUUGUGGUAUGCUGUGUGCAUUCAACAAAUAUAUUGUUGAUACUGCACUAAGGCUUUCAGAAACAAUCGCUAUCUCUGAAAUCUAGUCCAGAAACAGAUUUCCCAUGCCCCAUUCUCAUGCACCCAUAAUUCUCCCACCAGCCCUAAGAACCAGCAGCAGAGAAGCCCCCACUUCAUCCCCCAAUAGUAUCUCAGACUGGAACAGCUGAACCAUACUCUUCUCCCUGCCCAGAAAAUCCUGACCAUCCCUAUGCCACACCCACUCCCAGUCCCUUGUCACAUGGUUCACAUCCCUGUGGAAGACUCAGGUGCAAAACCUGUCUGAUUUAUCCACCCAGCACAUCCUACUACAUUACAUCAAAGUCUUAUUCUAUCACAACCUGUGAAAACACCCAAAUUAUAUGCCACCACUGACGCAAUUUCUGCACAGCAAUUUAUAUGGGCAUGACCAUCAACCAGCUGUCCACCCCAAAGAAUGUCCUCUGUCAAACUAGCAAAGAGCAAGUUGACCACCCAGUGUUGGAACAUGCUGCUGAGCUUAACAUGCUCAGUUUCAAUGGCUGUUUCUCAAGCCAUGCCAUCUGGACCCUUUUUUAACUACAUGGAGGGAGUUAUCCUUGCAACACGUCCUUCAUUUCCAUAAUCCUCCUGGCCUCAAUCUGUGCUAAAUGCACUGCAUCCACACCCGUUCCUCAUGGUCUCACCUUCCUCAGUUCUUCCAUCUGCUCCCAGUCCACUCUCUCAAGUCACUAUCAUUGCAGCCCUUGUAAAUUAUUUACAUCCUGAUAGCUGAAAGUAAUUUUGAUUUGUUUGGAAUCGCACGAUAUGAUUCUUUUAUAAGGUUAAGGUUUAAAAUGUUUGUCGUGAAUCUCAAACUCUUCCAAUGUCCCAGGCAAAUCAUUUAUGUAGGCCAACAACAGGAGUGGGCUAAGGACCGAACCUUGCAGGACAUCAUAUUUCAUGUUUUUCCACUCUGAAUUUAGUCUUAUUCCUGUCAUCUUAUUUUUUAAUGUGCCCCUCUGUUUUCUGUUGUUCAGAUGUUAUUCAAUAACACUAUACCAUUUUAGUUCUCAUCACCAGCUCAUAAGUAGUUUGUUUGCAUAUAGGAGCCCAACUAAUAAGACAAUCUCUCAUAAAGAUAUAAAGUUUAAUGCAUCACUAUUGUUAGCUCUCUGAUAGUCCUAACAUACCUUUCAUGAGACCGUUUUUGAGAAGUGAAUUUACUAGAGUAAGAGUUUAGUCAUAUUGUGUUAUAGUCAACAUUCCAUAAACAAUUUUAGGAAAUACCUGAAAAUCAAAUCUCAGUUUCAAGAAUCUUGGAAUUAAUUUUGAGUUGUUUCAAGUUUCUGUGAACCAUGUACUGUUUUCCUCUGACACUCUUUAAACUGUUUACUUUUGAGUCACCUAAAUGUUUUAAAUUUGUCCGCAAGCUCUGCAUUUAAUGUCUUAUGUAUGUAAAUUAUCUAGAUAGUCAUGUUUACGCUUUUGUUGGAUGUAUGUUGCUCAUAAUUUCUUGAACUACUUAUGAGCUCUAAUAUGACUUUAACACUUCUGUAUAUUAUCUGUGUGUUAUUGUAUUUCUAUAUUUUAAUGUCUAGAAGAAGAACUAAAUAAAAAUAUUUUGAUGUUUAAUUGUAGCUACAUUUUCCCUAUUAAAUAAGUGUGAAUGAGGAUGUGAGAGCCAUUGUGUUAUCUUCCUUACCCCCUCUGAGGGUACUUGUCAGUAUCUUAACAUUUUUGCUGCGUGAAUAAGGCAAACGAAAAAGACACAGACUGUUGUCACUUGCAGGGGUGAUUUAUUGUUUUCUUAUAGAAAGUUAUUUGUCUUCAAACUACAAUGUAAAUCCUGAAAGGUUUUUAUACAAAUUUUUGAAAGGGAGAGGCAAAACUAUACUGUACAUAAAGUCAUCUCCCAAUCCGUGUGCCAUGCAAGAUAGUAGCAACUCAACUUGCAAGUGUGCUCUGUAGAUGUAAUUUCAGAGCAAGCAAUACAAAAAGCAUUGUUGAUUCACACAGUGUCCAUAAGCAAUGUACUUUUAGUACCACAGAAUAAGAGUAUAGAUUAAAGUACAGUAGAAACACUGAGCGGUUUAUGUGUUUCAGAAUAGUUGUAGCUGGCGGUACACACUGUUCAUGAGUUUACACAACAAUGCAAGUUGAGCACUGUGUAAC